rnacentral:tRNA from 1 species
GGUUCUAUAGUGUAGCAGUUAACGUGUUUGCUUUACACGCAGAAAGUCCUGAGUUCGUGCCCCAGUGGAGCCA